CAGACAUGUCCAGACAUGCCUUGUAUUCUAGUGGAUGGAUCACCACUCCUACCCCCUCCUCCUCUUACAGACUGUGCAUUUACCCUGUUUAGAAAAGUUUAAGUCUUAGCCAGUCAGGAUCAGUUUAGAUUGUGCAGUCCAACCCUAGACACAGGGACAGGAACUGCAUUAGGGAUAAAAACCACUUCUCUCCUUUGUUCAGUGUGCUCUUGCAAUCGUAACUGAUGCAGGCAGCACCCUUCUGCAGAAGCAAAUUGCCUUGCUGAGAAAAAUUUUGCGGAAGGGUCUCAGAUCACCUCUUGUGGGGAGAUACAUCCAGCUGCCUCAUUGUGGUGGUCUCAGGGGUAAGGAAUCGAGACCCAACCAGCGUGACAAAUAAACAUGGAUCCUCAGCAACAUGGGAAGAAAAGGCCUACAGAUACCGGGGUGACCAGGUAACUCUAUGCACAGACCAAGAGGCCCAUAAGUGGGUAAAUGUUCCUAAGGACAAAGAUAUCUAUAAAUCUGCAGAGUGUACAUCUGUAAGAAUAGAAGACUGAUUCCUCGCUCACAUCCUCACUGAUCUAAUAACUACUCUGGCUUCCAAGAUGCUUCAAAAACUAAACUCAGCAAAAAGUGCAGACCAAAUAUGUGGCAGAAGUUGAACUGAGCUCGUUAAGUUUCAUAUUAUGUAUAUCCUUUAAUAUAGCCUUUUAAUGCCAAUAAGUGUGUCAUGCAUAGAUGAAAUGCUAAACUGUCUUAUGGCUUAGCAGUAUUGGCCUUGGUCUUAGAUGGGUAUUUAAAACUCAGCCUCUCUUAAGACUUUUCUUCUCUGCCAAAACCUGCUUAGUCACCAUCUAGGGUAACCCAAGGUUUUCUUGCUGUCCCCAUACAAAUUCACUUGAGAAGGUAUUCACUGUCCUAGGCAAAGAGCUAAGUAACAAUUAAUCUAUUUCUGAGGAAAAGAACACAUAAGUUAGUCAUAUAGUGCCAGCAUGUCUGAGGAAAAUGCUUUUAAUCAAAUAAUACUGAAAUGUAUAAUAAGAAAUAUGAUGAGAAGAGACUGGGAUUCCACUAAGAUGCUUCCCACCCAUCAAAUUAUUACUAAAAUAUGAUGAUCUACCAAAGUGCUUUAUGCUUCAAUCACAGAAACCAAUUCAAGCUUAGACCCAGACUUAAGGAUGGUCCAAAGAUUAUGCCACUAGCCAUAUGUAAAGUUAAAUAAAAGUACAAAUCCUGUUUCUCAGUUGCAUGAGCUGUUUCCAAUACUCAGUAGUCACAUGUGGCUGAUAGCUACCAUAUUAGUGCAGAUAUAGAACAUUCUGUCAUCACAGAAAGUUCUACUGGGCAGCACUGGUCCAAACCAUGGAAAGCCCCUGUGGUUUACUCCAUUUUUUAAAUUGUUACUGGUCCCAGGGAAGCAUAAAGAAAUAUGAACUUGUGCUGUAACCUCAGAACUACCUUGGACUUCCAGCUGACCCCAAACUGGAUCUGACUCAGGAUAGACCCACAUCAACCAUCAGAGUUUAGGAGGAGGAGGAAGCAAUACUUACCUCAAAUGACAAAGUGAUGCCUGGGAAAGUCCUUUUAAAACUAUGAAGUCCUGUGCAAAAAUAUUCUUUCCAUUUUCCUAAGCAAUUGCCUUCACUUUGUUGUGGGGCUCUCCCUAGAUUAUUAUAUUCAUUGCUGGACUCUAGAGCUUGAGAUAAAUGCAGAAAAUUUGGAGGCAGUUCAGAGGAGACACUCAAAGAUGAUGAAAGGUUUGAGAAAUAAAAUUUUGUGGCUAAAAAAACAGAAGUCAUCCAUCCCGGAAGAAAAUUGUAAGAUUAUCUUCAAGCAUAAGCAUACAUAUUAUAUAGAGGAUUAUGUCCAGCUACUUUGAAAAGCUGCAGACAAAAGAAUUAAAUUAAAUUAAAUUAACAGCAUAAAAGUAAAUUUCCUGAUAAUGAUGGCUGCGCUGAAACAGGCUAUCAAAGAAGUUUAAGAAAUCUUCUCUGGAUGUAUUUGAAAGCAGAAAAGUUUCCACGUAAACAUUUUCCAGUAACGACUCCUUCUGAGGAAAGCAGUCAGAUAUAAUUCAUUAUGUACACAUUCUCAUGUUUUGUAACAUGUGCAUAUCUGGUCCCAGCUGGUAGGCCUAGGGAUUGCUUCUGGCUCCUAUCAUGCCACCUACAGUCAGGCAUGUGGCUACUAUGAGAGCCCUAUUCAACAAAGCUACUGCAUUCUCAGAGUAAUUAUAUUAGAAGAUAAGGUCAUUCUUUCCCCAGAACCCACUUCUCCUUUCCUUAUAACAUAUCUGAUUAUUUUUCUUGUGGUACCAUCCUUCUCCUAUCCUAUACAGUCCUGGUCUGGUUAAUCAGAGCAUCCAUUCUCCCUGGCCACAGUGAUUGGUUCAGAAGUAACAAGUAACCCAAAUCAAUCCAAUACGGCUUGACUCCAGGACUUUUUUGUUGUUGUUGUUCAAACUGUUGGGAGCAGAUAAUCACUCUCUGUGGCAUAUUUGGAAAUAUGAGAUUUAAGCCUGGUUCUAGUGGUCUGGGUUGGGUUGCCAUUACAUGCAGAGUACAACAACAAAGUGAUCCUGUAGGAACUUUAUUAAAUUUAUCCAGAGCAAAAGCAUUGGCUCUCCUGCCAGGAAGCAAGUAGCUAGAGAUGGUGAGCAACCUGCUAAGCCACAGAGCUAGAGAAGAGGAGAGAAGGAAAGAAGGAAAAGAAGGCCACUCUUUGGUACACAGGUUUUCUCAAUUCAUCACCUUCUUUACAGCACCACACUGUCUCUCCUUCAAUGGUCCUUGGCCCUACCACAGUUCUUUGGGACAAAUAAGCAAUCUUCUCCUCCUAAACAGCUUCCUCUGUCCCUAAUUCAGUUAUCACUGCUCCAUGUUUUCCCUCUGCUAAACAUUUACUCAAACUUCUCAACCACUGAUGUCCUCUUUCCUGUUUGUCCUUCGAGGAUUUUUUGGUUUGUUUUUGUGUUGUUGUUGUUUUGAGACGAGUCUCGCUCUGUCUCCCAGGCUGGAGUGCUGUGGCGCAAUCUUGGCUCACCGUAAUCUCUGCCUCCCAAAUUCAAGCCAUUCUCCUGCCUCUGCCUCCCUAGUAGUGGGAUUACAUGCGUGCACCACCACGGCCAGCUAAUUUUUGUAUUUUUAGCAGAGGCGGGGUUUCGCCAUGUUGGCCAGGCUAAUCUCGAACUCCUGGCCUUAAGAGAUCCACCAGCCUCGCCCUCCCAAAGUGCUGGGAUUACAGGUGUGAGCCACUGUGCCGGCCCUUCGAGUAUUUUUGUUGUUGUUGUUUACCAUCAUUUUAGAGUGGUUUCAGGAAGGCAAUAAAUGUUCAUGGUCAAUCCAUCAUGUUUAAAUGACUUUUAUGUUAAGAACAAGCCAAUAUAUCAAGAAGAAUUAAAAUAGAAUGAAGGAGAAAGAAAGAAUCAAAGCAGGACAUAAUGUCUGCUAGCUGUUGUCAUGAACAUAAUUGCAGGAACUAGGAUGCACUUACUCAAGCAGCUCGGGAAACCCAUUAUGCACUCGGAAAUCCUUAGAGUAACAAUGCUUUAGUGAGUCUGGAGACCAAAUCCUGCUGGGUCCAGUCAGACACCCAGUCUGUAGAUGUUUGAAACCGAAAUUUUCCCCUGGUCCAGUGAGGGUGAGAAGUGCUUUAAUUUGGUUGUUUUGUCUUUCUUUUUUUCUACUUUUGGAUUGAUUUCAGGUCUCUUCUCUUAGGCGUUUUGUUUGUUUAACAAAUAUUUACUAAGCAACCAAUAGGCACACACAGUAUUAUAUUAUUUCCUAAAAUACAAUAAGGAAGACUCAAAUCUUGCUUCAAAAAAAAAAUCAAUUUUUUGGAGAAAGUAACCUUUCUACUAAGUUAUUUUGAAAGAGGAGGGCAGAGCAGGGAAGGAGAUGGAGAUGGGGUGGGUGGGGCAGUGGUUACAGGAACAAGAGGAAAUGUUUGGGAGGAGUCAACCCUCUGGUGCCAAAUUGGAACACUGAUGUUUCCAGAUGUCUCUUUAAAAUCCCGUCUCACUAGCAGGAUUAAUAUUGAAGAGACUUACCCAGAUUUGAGGGUGGAAGAAUUGGCCUGGUGAAGGUAUUAUUACUAAAAUACACAAUUUCACUCUAUUCUUGAGCUAUAAUCUACAAUAUUUUGUGACCCUUCACUUCCUCAUUUAAAAUCUCAAAGGUUGUUUUCAGUUCUAAAAUUUUAGUAUUUGAACCCAAAUUCUGGCUUCUGGGCAAUCUUCCCAUGGUCUUUCUAUUUAUAUCACAUCCUGUCCCCAAGCCAUUGAAUUUUUUUACUCUAACUGAUUUGGAAUUCUACAUUACUUAUUUCAGUCCCCACCCUAAACAUAUUUUUUCUUCCCAAUUUAUUCUUAAGGUUGAAAUAAAGUUCGAAUGAAACCUAGCAACACAUAAACCUAGA
rnacentral:lncRNA from 10 species